UGGACAAAUCAGAUUUUGGGACCUGGGAACUUAGUUUGUGGUUGUACUCAAUGUUCUAGGUGUUGAUGUCCUUUGCUUCCGAUUUUAUUUUACCUUACUGUGGUGAUGUAUAAGAAAAACUUCUCAGUGGGCUCUUUGCUAAACACUAAAAUUUAAAUGCUUGUAAUAUUGUUUGGAGGGCACAGAUUGACUUACCAC
rnacentral:sRNA from 1 species